rnacentral:rRNA from 1 species
CCUACGGGUGGCAGCAGUCGAGAAUCAUUCACAAUGGGGGAAACCCUGAUGGUGCGACGCCGCGUGGGGGAAUGAAGGUCUUCGGAUUGUAAACCCCUGUCAUGUGGGAGCAAAUUAAAAAGAUAGUACCACAAGAGGAAGAGACGGCUAACUCUGUGCCAGCAGCCGCGGUAAUACAGAGGUCUCAAGCGUUGUUCGGAAUCACUGGGCGGAAAGCGUGCGUAGGCUGUGUCGUAAGUCGUGUGUGAAAGGCGCGGGCUCAACCCGCGGACGGCACAUGAUACUGCGAGACUAGAGUAAUGGAGGGGGAACCGGAAUGCUCGGUGUAGCAGUGAAAUGCGUAGAUAUCGAGAGGAACACUCGUGGCGAAGGCGGGUUCCUGGACAUUAACUGACGCUGAGGCACGAAGGCCAGGGGAGCGAAAGGGAUUAGAUACCCCAGUAGUC